rnacentral:rRNA from 1 species
UACACACCCGCCCGUCGCACCUACCGAUUGAAUGGUCCGGUGAAGACUCGGGAUUGUGGUUUGGCUCCUUCAUUGGGGCCUGACCGCGAGAACUUGUCUAAACCUUAUCAUUUAGAGGAAGGUGAAGUCGUAACAAGGUUUCCGUAGGUGAACCUGCGGAAGGAUCAUUA